rnacentral:rRNA from 1 species
AACGAACGCUGGCGGCAUGCCUAAUACAUGCAAGUCGAACGAAGGCUUCGGCCUUAGUGGCGCACGGGUGCGUAACGCGUGGGAAUCUACCCUUGGGUUCGGAAUAACUCGCCGAAAGGCGUGCUAAUACCGGAUGAUGACGUAAGUCCAAAGAUUUAUCGCCCAGGGAUGAGCCCGCGUAGGAUUAGCUUGUUGGUGAGGUAAAAGCUCACCAAGGCGACGAUCCUUAGCUGGUCUGAGAGGAUGAUCAGCCACACUGGGACUGAGACACGGCCCAGACUCCUACGGGAGGCAGCAGUAGGGAAUAUUGGACAAUGGGGGAAACCCUGAUCCAGCAAUGCCGCGUGAGUGAUGAAGGCCUUAGGGUUGUAAAGCUCUUUUACCCGAGAUGAUAAUGACAGUAUCGGGAGAAUAAGCUCCGGCUAACUCCGUG